CAGCUUGUAUGCUACUUUAAAAAAAAGUAAUAAUAAUAAAUACCCAAAACAAAGCAGUAACCUCACUCUUGGAAUUACUGUUAAUUACAAAUUGAGACUUCAGUGUUUGUCUCAGAUUUUCCUGUGAUGUUUUCCCUUUCCAGAUUCUCCAUCUCCUGUGCAGGCAGCAACAAGUUGUUGGAAGGAGGCGCUAAGUUUUGGUCCAUCUCACAUGGAUCGGGUUGUUUAUGAAGUCGUUUUCUACUUAUUCACAGAUAUAUCUGUAAUGAAUGGGAAAAAUUUCUGAAAGUUGAAUGGUUUUGGUCACUUUUUAAAGUUUUCUUGGUUGUUCCUGUGAGUUUGAAGUGUCACACAUGGAUCACUCGCUUCCCUCUCUCUGUUGAAUUCGCAUGUUCUUGUCAAUGAUGUGUGUCCAGAAGCAGUAGACUUCAAAACUAUUCAUGGGUAUUUCUAAUUUCUCAUUAUCUUUCUCCCUUUGGAAUUGAUUGCAUAUAUCUGGGGCUUCCUCUCUUGUCACAAAAAGGAGCAAUGCUGCUUGCAGCCUUUUCUCCUACUUAUCUGUGUCUGUAGCCAUGAGGUACAAGAGAAAUCUCAGCUUCUAUUUUCUUCAAUUUUCCGCUAAAUUUCCUUUGAAGGUUAUCUUUCCUGGAGGCUUCAACUGAUCCAUUUUCCUUUCAUUUCCUUCUCUCUCUCUUUUUUUUUUUUUUUUUUGGCACCGCAUAAUGUGUUUGUGUAAAGGAGAAGAAAGGAGAGAAGAAAGUCUACCUUUCUGUUGACAUAAAAACUCUUCAGUUCUUCUGGGCUCUCUGCUUGGGUAUCCUGAAUACAGCUGUGUAUUUCUUCUGUGCUGUGAAAGGGAUAGCAUGCUGCUGUAAAAAAAAAUGACUAUUUGAAAUCGUGUUCCUUUUAUGCUUCACACACGGUCCUUCUGCAGCAGAUCCGUUGUCCAUAUAUAUUCAUUUAAUCAUAGCUCUUUGUGUUACUGAUUUUAAACCAAGUUCUUGUUACCACUUAUUUUCUAGGUCAUCUGGAGCCAACACAGCUAAAAUGUUUCUCCUGCCUUGGAGAGGGCACGGGGGGGGUGGCAGAUGGCUUCUGCUCUGCUCUAGGACAGGAGGUCGUCGUGUGCUUGCAGAGGAUGUCUGCUGGGACAAGAAGAUCAGGAUGACUGAGUUCCCCUCCUGCAUUUCUCUGGGCAAGCAGCAGCAUUUGGGCUGAUCUGUAGUUAUGAACGUGCUGCUGGGCAGGUCAGUGUCAAUAUGCUUGUCACUCAGCUGGUUGCUCCUCCCGAGAUGGAGCACUGGGUUGUAGCUGUUUCUUCUCUCUAUCUGGCUACUUGCCUAGGUUUCUGUCCCCCAUGCUACUGAUUUGCAUGUGAGGGGAAAAAAAAAUGCACUUUUCACCUCCAGUUGUCUUUCAAAUUUGGCUAAAAUUGGUAUUAGCUGGACAUACCAGCUUGCUAUGCUGAAAAACAUCAGCAUGCUCCUAUGUAGCCCCAAGUCAUCUUGAAUUUUAUUAAAAUAUUUGCCCACCAGCCUUAGGAGAUACCGAUAGAUGAGCUUUCAUUCUUACUUUUUUCCUGUGGCAUCUUAUUUAUUUAUGGGGAGCCAUUUGAUAGAAUAUAUAGCACGUGGACCUUUGGCUAUGUGAGUUUAGUAGAUGUCCAUUGUGCAGAAGAUUAAUAAAAUUAUCUGACUGUGUUACAUUUCCUCUUUCUUCAUUGUACGAGCAGUGUUGACAUGUGCAGUACACUGAUACAGAUUGUACUGUUUCAUCCAAGUACACACAGUCCUAUUCUCCCUAUUUUUUUGCAUUUAAAUCGAAACACUUGUAGCUGUGAAUGAUGUGAUUUAUUUCAUUAAUGGUAUCUUUGCUGCGGGCAGUGGCAUUGAGUCUCUUUGUCCUGAUGAAGUCUUUUCCAUGACAAUGAUAAUUUAUGACUUGGUGUUUGUUUCAGUGACAAGGAGAUGACUGUACUUCGUUUGUGUUUAUUUUUCAGUCUUGAAUUCUUAGGCCAAAAAUAGACAAAAUGGGCUGGAGCAUAUGCAAAUAUCCUUAUUUCAAACUUAGCAUUAUCUAUUAAUGGAUUAUUUUAAACUGGAGAUGACAGCUCAAGAAAACCAACGCACUCCUUAAACGUAUCCUUAAUUUGUAUUGAAAAUGAUCUGAGAUUUCAGAUCUGGCUUUGCUAGUGGGGAGCGUCCAUCCUCCCUCCAGCUUCUGCAAGGGGCUAGGAUGCAGUUGCGUUGGCCGGGCCUUGUUUGGUGUACCGGGAAACCCUCUGCAGGGAGAAAUCCGCUGGGUGCUUGUGCCACCCCUUACAGCCCGCUGCAAGAAGCAGCACCACGGGGACACCGUUCCAGCGUCGCCCUGAGGUCCUGGCUCUGCGCUGGGGCAGGAGCCGGCUCCCAUCAGAAGUGCUUCCCGCCUGUGUGCUGCCACUUGGAGACCUUCCACUGCAAAUAUUGAUCCAGCUCACACCGCUCAGCUUAGGAGAGCUGGGGAGAUGAAAGUAUUUGGCCUCGCAGCCGCAAGGUAUUGCAGAUGACUAUGAUGUGAAUCAGAUCCUGCGCCUAUCUGCAAGGUACCGAGUUUGCAAUUCCUUUCCACUCCCUGCCCACGCAGUCUUGAGCCCAGAGAUCAGGCUGGCAUGCAGUCUCCUGGUUCAUGUUCCUGUCUUGAACACAUCCUCUUCUUUCUCUGCAUGGUGUGCUUACGAUAUGGCACCGGGCACUGUGGAAAUAUUUGGAGAUCUUUUGGCUCCAGCCACGUCACUGCUUGUUCAGCCUGAUGUCGUGAGUCACAGGUCUGGAUUCUUUGCACUGAAUCAGAUGUUAGAGAUGCAAAAGGUCUGUUGGGUCACCCAGCACACCCUGGGCUGGUUGCUCAUUGCAGGAUGUAAGCCUUGCUUUUAUUCUGCCAGGAGAAAAGAGGAAGCAGAGUGGUACUUUUUCUCGGCAGGUCUGGAUUGCUGUGUGGAUCUGUGGUUCCUCGUUCCUUUGUGUUCAUGGAAAGCUUUCGGUGUUCAGAUUCAGAAAGUCCAUGUUGUUUCUUUUUGACUGCUCAUGUGUGAGUUGACACAGCAAAGGCAGAAUGAAAGUCACAGCACAGCAGAUAAUUAAAGGAGAAAAAGUUUCUAAACAGAGGGAUUUUAGGAUUUGUGCCACCUGCGUGCCAAACACAGCACGUGCAUCUUCUCUGGAGAAACUGGUGAAAAGGUGAAAGCAAGAGGUGCUGCAGGGAGCACACCCGGUGUCUUUGAAAAGCCAGCCGCCUUCCCCGCUGCACUGCGCCGCCGGAGCAGAGGCUGUCACCCCGUGCUCUGACAGCCAGCCCUCCCUCGCUCGCUGGCAGGUUUUUCGUGCUUCAGGGUGAGCUUCCUUCCCCGUCUGCCUGUCUUCUGCAUCAUGUCCGUGCACCUCAGAGUCUGACGGUCUCACCAAAGAAACCAGCGUCAGCUGGAAGCUGUGGACUAGGGUUAAUUUGUAUUCGAUUUUCUGCACAGCAAGACGGAGGAGAAAGAUUCUGAUGGCCUGAGUCAGGAGUUACGGGCCCCAGCUGCCACCAGAAGAGGGGAUGCUUUCCAGGGAGGUGAAUGACCAGCUCUGGCUGGUGAUGCUUUUGAAGGUUGCACUUGUUCUGCUGCAGUAUCUGUUCAAGUGGGAAAUUAUGCUUCCCAGGUCAGUGUUGGUAUUGUUUCUUUUAGUUUUUUUGAAGCUUUUGUUUGCAUUUUCCUUACUAGUGCCUGUGAAGCAGUCCUAGAAGGCAGUGAGAAGUCAACGUUCCUCUCUUCUCAGAGGCUUCACGGGUCCCAUCCAGGGGUGCUGCCUACCUUGGUUGUUCAGACACAUCUUUCAGAGAAAAGGCAGGCUACCCAGCAGUUCAGAAAAAUGUGUUUUUGCUGCUGCCGCUCAAUUGUAUCUAAAAUAAGGAAAAUAAAUACUAUGAACCUAAAAAAAAUAAAUCUGGAAGAUGUUUGGCUUGGAGUUCUUAGUCUGUUCAAUGCUGUCUGUCUUGGAAAGGGCAGAUGAAUCUCACGUUUCCAAGAAGACUAUAUAUAGAGCGGUGCAGUCUCAUUUACUGAUAUUAUGAAGCUAAUUUAGCUGUAAAUUCAAUUUUAUAUCUUCACCCAGAAAGAAAAGUCACCACGCUGUGAGAAUGAAUUCCCAGCAAACAUCUAAACAGAGACUGUCUCCAUUCCCCUUUUUAUGCCAAAUCACAAAAUUGGUGUCCUCUUGAAGCUUUGAAAUUAGAAAGCCUUUGUAGAUUCAGAACCAACUGUUGUCUGAAAUAGCUUUACAAGUUUCCUUUUAAUGUCUCUAUGGCUCGUAUUCUGGGUUUAAUGGUUACUAAAGCCUCCUGGAGUUAAAAGCAAUAUCAUAUUUUUUUAUUAAUUAAAAACAAAGAAGGAAGAAGAGAGAAUCAUUUGGUAAUCUGCCUGGUGCCUUUCCACUAAAUGAUUGAUAAUAUACGCUUCUAGAUAUCAGGCAAUUCAUUAAGCCUUUCAGCACUGAGUAGGCCAAUAAUGGAUACAGAAUAUCAUUUAAAUCCCUACUAAAAUAGAAUAAUCUUUACUGGAAAUGGUGAGCCUUUGACAGUGCACUCUAGUGUAGGGAGGCUGAGAUUUACCUGAGGUGGGAUUCAGUGGGACAGGCAGUUUAUUGUCACUCACUCACAAAAUGUUCCAGGAAUUUCUUCCCUUCUUCUGAGCUUUUCCUCACGUCACCCAACUUUGACUUACAGCCUAGACUGUGAAAUGGAGUUUGGUUUCUGAGGCAAGGUUUUCAAUUUCAGCCUUAACAGAAUAAAAUAUUGACUUGACAUUUAUAGGGACGCUGACUCACGGAAUGAGUUACCUGAUUAAAAUGAGGACAAGCAAUCUCCUAGGAUAUGAAAAAUGUGAUGAAUAGUAAAGAAGUAAUGGUUGAUAGUAAUUAGAGAAGGUUAUAUGAUGUCUGUAGAUUUGUAGGACCUCGUACUGAAUGAACUGCAGAAGUUAGAUAGCAGACCCUUCAAUAGAAAAGCAGAAAAUCUCAGUGAACUUUAAAAUGUGAUUAACUUGAGAGUUUGUUUAGUGCAGGUCUUACUGUGUCAGGUGAGUAUUUAUCAGCUGUGUACAGGUUCCCACCUUUCUCCUCCAGUGAAGGGGUAAGGGCAAGGCUCGCUUCCAGGUCUAUUUAAAACUGGGACUCUAUCAUGCAUUUUUUCAUAACUUUUAAAUUGCUUUCCACUACCUAAAUCUUGAGUGACUCCCCACGAAUAAAAACAAACUGAAAUAAUGAGAAGACCUCAUGGCAAACUCUUACAGGGACCAUUAGCACAGCUUUAGAAGACAGCGUGUGGACAAGUAAGGAGCCAUGUGCUUAAAGUUCUCUUUUCCUGUUAGAUCUCGUCACCUUUUCUGUUGCCUGUUUUCUUACCUACCCAGAUCAUCCUUUGCUGUUUGGUGUCUCCACUGUUGCUGUGCUGCAGCUGGCUGAGCUGGCACAGGAUUUGGCCUCUUUUUUUUUUUUUUUUUCCUUCUUCUUACUAGAAGUGGCAAAAUUUGUGUUAUUUAUCUCUCUGUUUUGUUCAGAAAUAGUUUCCUAAUUUGCCUGAUGUUCCUAGGCACUACCUUAAUUAAAGCUGUAAUCUGGCAGAUAACCCGAAAGUUAACUUUCAAGAAGCAGAUUAAUCAUCUUUUCCUCUGAAAUUUGUCAUGCUCUAUGCAUAGCCCCAGACUACGCCAAGUUCUUCACUGGAACUGUGGGGAGGCACUGUGAGGGAGUACUGUAAAAUCUCUCCAGGAAGAGCAGAUGAGGGGAGAAAAUGUGCUUUUAUCCCAAAGGCAGAGGAACUGGGCAUGGAAACGAAAAAUGGCUAUAGCAAGAGCUGAUGGCAUAUGUAUUUUAAACUAACCAGCUGCCAGAAUAAUGCUACUUGAUUGUAAUGAUCUCUUUUAGUGAAACUAGGAAAACUGUGAAAUGGAUCAAUAUUGAAAUGGACGUAUCAGUUAGUCUUUCUUGUCUUCUUUAGACACGUCUAUUUCUUUUGCUCUGAUGCUUUCACUUUAUUCACAGUAUGUGUGUGUGUAUAUAUAUAUGAUAGGAAUGAUUAUACAUAGGAAUAUUUUAUCCGUGGCAUAUGUGCUACAGCUCUUGGAAAUGCUCAGCAAUUACCCUGUCCUUACUGUCAUUGCUAUUUCUGGAUUUACAGAUGCAUCAAAUACAGCUUGAGGACACUGCAUUACAUUGAUAUGUGGUCUCUGAUCUGACAUUUACCAUCUUUUUAAAAAAAAAAACAAAGCAAAAAACUUCCGUAAACUGUAAUUCUGCCUCCAAAGUGCUUUAACAAAGUCUAAUUUUUAGCAAGGUAUAGCUGGAGGCAGGAGAUGAUGUUGAAGGCAUGGAGGUUCAGCAAGAGACGCUUAGGAAAGCCCUAAGGGAGAAGGGCAAAGUAAGGAAGAGCUGUGUGGGUCUCGGGAGGCCAAGAAGUGAAGCCAGCAAUAACCUCACCGAGUGGUGGUCAAGCUUCUCCAGCGAGGGAUGUCUUGAGUGAGAGUUUAAUUGACGAAAUGAGUGCUAGUGAAGUGAUGCCUCAGAUGCUGAGGCUCUUGCCUGCAGAGAGAUUAAUGAGUGGCAAGGAAGACAGGAAUAAGAAGUAGGUGGGGAGAGAGAAAUCCAGAAUCGGUUUACUAGAAAUUUGUGACAGGGCAGGCAAGAGCUUCUUGUUACUGAAUAAAUUACUGUCACUGCAAAUACUGGGUGAGCGGAUCCAUUCUUUCUCCCUAACACGCAUCUUGUUUAAGUCACGUCUGCCUCUUCCAGGAUUUCAGGUGGCGGCAAAGGGCUAGUGCCAACAGGACCGCAGCUCCACUCUAGUGUUUGUCCAGCCUUGUCAUACGUGUGGGGGUUUAUUCUUUACUUUUCUCAUUCUACUGAUUUGUUUCAGCUGCUGCUGGGGCUUAUUAUUUGUAGUGUUGAUUUUUAUGCAUGGUAUUUGAGGAAGGGCGAAGUCCAAGAUCGCCGGUAACUAGUGCAAACAGGAACUCCUGGGCAGGUGCUGUCUGGAAUUGAAGGACUCAGCAGACUUUGCCCUCAAAGAAUGUAUGUAUUGAAUCCCAGUCCUUGUGCUUUACUUCUCCUAGGCUUGUCCUUUUAAAAUGUUUAAUAAAUGUAGGUAUUGAAUGCUGAAUUACAGAGUACCUCCUGCCUCGGAUACUUAUAUUUAUCACUAUUGUUAGUAGUGAAUAGUUUUGGAAAUAAUGACUGGAUAAAGGCAAACAUCUCAUUGCAAAAGCGCAGCAUGUGUACCACUUCCAAAAGUUCACCUGACCUCUCCGGCAACGUCAACGGGAGGUCCUGGGGACUCUCCAGCAGCACAGGUUCCUUGCUGAAGACUGAGGUAACGUGAGUGACACCGUGUUUGUGACCCCGGGCAAACCUUUUGCAUGUCUUCUUCAGCCUACCCUGUUGCAGUGUGCGGGACGGCUGUCUCGGUGUAAAGGUGGAAGGGAAUUGCCCCUGUUUAUCAGGUUAUCAGUUACCGAGAAGCAAUGUACUUUGUGGUGAACUUCCAGAUGGCUUCCAGAUAAACCCUACGUCAUUAAAAAAGUAGUUGUAUGUCCUUUUUCUUCAUGUGCCUUUCACGGGGGCUGCAGGAGCCCUUUUUCUGUCAUAAUUUAUAGUUCAGAUUUCGUAUUAGCUCUGCAGUAACGUCCUCACCAAUUGCAAUCAGUGUUGCAUUAAUUCCUUGCAUUAAUUUGAACUGUUCAAAUGGCACUCUGGGGGUGAUUUGCUGAGUACCUUGCUCACCUUGCGGUGAUUUCCAGCUUCUGUGUUAGCUGUGCUUGCCAUUGCUCAGGAACCCAAUAUUGAAAUGAAAUCCAGCACAUCUUAAUCUCAAUGGAGCGUAUCAGUAAGUGAUAUAAAUAUGUAUUUAUCAUUCAGUAGGGAAAGAUCAUGGAAAAUUUAACCAAUUACUCUGACUUCUGCGACCAACUUUGUCUUAUCGUGUAUUUUUCUUUUAACAUGGUGACUGUAUCGUGGAGAACUCAACAGCUUGUUAGUAGCCAUGCAUGCACUUGUGUAUUUCCCUAAACAAACAAAAACUUUCAAUGGCUUGGGUGUGUAUCCAGUGCUUUUAAGCAGGUAAUUGUCUAAGCAGGAAUUCCUUGUCUUCAUUUUUGUCUGCUGAGAAAGCCAGACUGAUGUAUAAAAGACAAGCGCAUGCCAAAUGCAUUAAGAGUUUACAAAGCCUUAAUCAACCUGUUUUAAAAUUCUUCCUACAGCCCUGAAAUAGUAGUGCUGAGUUGAAACCACUUCUGACAUCUCUAAGAAAAAAUAAUAGUGAAUGAAGGAACGAGUCAAGUAUAGGUGCGAGUAAGGCGUGUGGCAGAGCACAAGGCUCCGGGUGCAGCCUCCGAAGACUCCGGAUGAACAAGAAGGAAGAGGAAAGGCAUGGCUGUUGCUGGCGAUGUGACCUGUUAGCUUAGCUGCGUGGAGAGCGUACAGGCUGCUGCACUCCCCAAAGCACCGGGGGCUUGUUGGUCGUUUGCUGAAGAUUAAAAUCAGGCCCUCGCAUCAUUGCAACUGCUUUUGGAAGGCGUCCACAUGUACAUGCUACCUGGGGAACCAAGAAACUACUUAGCUGGUCUAUAACUUCUGUGUGACAGCAACUGGGUCUUGUAAUGCUUGUACAGAAUCCACCAUUGUGACCCACCGCUAACACUCGCCUAGAUUAAUGUAGACCUCACUGGUCAGAAUAUGAUGGAUUUGGGGAAGUCUGCCAACAUCACCUUUGAACCAAAAGCAUUGCGAGUGCUUCGGGAGCCAAGCCAAAGAUGAUUUCCGAAAUAUUCAGUAAUAAUGGAUUGUGUCAGGUCUUCUGGAUAGUUGUGUGGUACCACCCUCAGCUUUAUCAAUGAACCACUGAAAAUCCUUGUGUCCAGUGCUCCCACCUGCUCUGUCUCCCCUUUGGCGCUGCCAUCUAAAGAUGAGCCAGGCUGUUUAUAAGAACAUCAGGUAAGGCGUUACUAAAAUCAAGAUGUAGAACACCUACUGCUUCCUCCUACUCAAAGGCCUGUUACUGAAUCAGAGAAGAAAAAUAUUUUGGUUUGACACAGUUUGUUCUUGGAGAAGAACACGCUGGUUGUCAGUUAUCUUGUUUUCUUACAGGUAGUUCCGAAUAGUUUAAUUACUUGUUUUAGUACUUUAUUUAUUUAUUUCCUAAACAUCAUAAUGAAGGUGGAUUGGAUGAACAGUACUGGUAUGGGAGCUUUGUCUGAGCGGUGGAAAUACGAAUUUGACGUCGCAGCUCUGCCAGCUGCAUGAUCUCCUGACUUGAGGAAAAGACAAACUAACCAAGAUAUGCCCCCCAGCUCUCAGUUUUUCUCAAGGAUUGCCUGGAUAUCCGAGCAUGCCAACCCCGACCUGCUCACUAAAUGACUGUUGGUGCAUUUUCCACUGAAGAAAAUUCUCCCACUUGUUCCUUACUCUGUGCAGUUAUGUAAGUGUCAGGGAAAACAUACAGCAUCUCAAAUUCCUUGUCUAAAAUCCUGGUCUUACUCAGUUACUGUGGGAGACUUUUACUCAUUUUUCCUUGGGAUGCCAUUGUUUUAUAAUUACCGUUGGGUAUAGCACGCCUGAAGUUCUAAAGGAAUCAUGUAAUUAAUAAAAAUUGUCAAGCCCAAUUUAUAGAACUUAAAAAAAAAAAAAAAAAAAAAAAGACAAUUUCAAACCUCAAAGAAAAUGACAUAUUUUGAAGUGUCUGUGCGUGUGUAUGAGUAUUUACUUCAGAGUUCUUUACUGGAAUAGGUAGAUACAAAAAUACACGAACAUUUUAUCAAAAGCUGCAGUUACUUGGCUGAAAAUAGUUUUACUUCUUACUCAGAUAGAAACUGGUACAUGUGCCUGUGAAGAAAUACCUUG